AUGCUCUUCUUUACAACAGGCAGUUUUGCAGAUAAAAUCGGGCCGACGGAUGAAGAUGCCAACAUUGUCAGGCACGAAAAAGACACAAUUACUUUGAAAUGUUCAUAUGAGUAAAGUAGUGAAAACAUUUAUCUUUACUGGUACAAACAAUAUCCUAACAGUGCACCACAGUUUUUACUGUAUAAAGGCGCAAGGUCUAUUAGUUUUGGGAGCACUCCUACUGACACUUACUGUCAGAGGUCUAAAGUUCCCUAUAUGAGGCUGAAUGUAAAGCAAAGAAUGCAGCAGCGACUCAACAAUCUGUCAAUAACAUUAGUGACACUGUCAUCUUCUGCACUAUAUUACUGUGCUCUGGUGUCCACAGUGACAGGAAAUCCAACUGCACUGUACAAAAACUUUGACACACUUUAG